rnacentral:lncRNA from 1 species
UCUCUCUACAGCUGUAUCCAUUUCCUCCUGGCAAAAAGGGACUUUAUGAAUAAAUGAUACUGAAAUGCUGAGGGUUCAGAUACUAAAUAAUGAAUUUCACCACCAAAAACACAACAACUUCUCCAAUCAUAAAAUACCGCUCCUUCCAUAUUGAUUGUGCUUUGGCAACUAGAUGCAGUGCUAGGCUUCACUCUGAAAGGUGUUUAAAAAGAAAAACAGGUUUACCCGGGAUUUAUCAUGGAGUGGAAUAAGAGUGCCUCUCUCUCUAGAUGGGAACUUUGCUCCAUGGGACAUUACACCAGGAAGCCAUGGUGCUGUGUUGCUCCUGGUGACACUGAAUGUGAUUAAGGAAACUUCCUUAACCCAUUAGCUUCAUUCUGUGAACUGUUAUAGACUCAGUAGUACUACUGCAAGCAAUAAUGAUUUUUCAGGUUUCCUACACAGUCAUGAGAUCUUGCAUCAUUUCCAUCAAGAUCAUUCAGUUGUUUAUGUUACCACAAGCUAUUCCUUCUACUUGAAGUGAAGGUACUGUAUGCCUUAAGGCAGAAAAACGCAUAAAGGUAUCUGGAAAAGUAAAUUGCCAGAAGCGAAGAGCACCCUCGCUUUCAAAAUCCUGUGGAUGGGGCAUUUCUGUAAGAAAUUAGCAGUGUCGAGACACAGGCUCGAAAGAGAGCCGCGUAUGGCGCUAGUCGCUGCUUCCUCGGGCAGAAAUCUCGCUGGAGCCCAGCACGGCAGUCUCGAGCACGCAGUUCGCUUUCAGACAGACACAGCUUUCGCCUCCUCUCCCAUCUCUCCUCUAUUUUCCCCCUCUCCUCUCUCUUUCUGCUCCUCGUAGAGCAGCGCUUUAAUAAAGUCACAUAAGUGAUUGAAAUUAACAUAAAUCAUUAUUAGUUAUUAGGAUUUGCUCUAAAUUACUCCGUGAAUAUAACACCAAACCCCAUCUGCCACUCCUGCUCUAGCGGCAAUAGAUUGCAGAUAAAAUAAAUGUCCUUACCCCAUUAGAAUGUUCCUGUCUCUGUAGCCAAAAGCCAAACAAAAGCAAUAAAUACCGAGCUUUUUUCUCUCCACUAUUCAGCUGUGACUGUUUUCAUCAGCUCUGCCUCUAGAAAAGCUCGAUAGCUGCCUGAAAAUAUUGCAUUUUAUAUCACCAAAGGGCGAUUAAUAUUGCAUUAACUGUAUUUAACAUUUUUUAAGCGCGAGUAAUCUGAAAUGAGUAAGUUUCUGUUACUAAAUACAGGGGAUGUCAGAGCUGGUGAAAACAGCUUAAAAUAUCUGUAUAAACAGAUUAUUUGUUUCGUACUUUGUAUUUUUAUAAUGUUAUGGUAUAGUGUGCUCUGUUUGAAGUAGAAGAAGCCAUGCUAAUGGUCUGUUUAAAGUAUUCUGACACUGUCUGGAGACAUCCAAGUCUCUGCCUUCAUUAAAUGUUUAUUGUCAACACUUCAGUGAAAAAAAGUCUCGUGUAAGUGAAUUUCCACUGCUGGAUGCUGUCAACACUUUGUUUUAUUCUGAUCCGCGUGUACAAAAGUUUGUAUACAUUAUGCUGAAGUGAAGAGAGGCAGAGAUUUAGUGCGCUAUAAUUAGUUACCAAACAAACUUUUGUUAGUAAUUCGCUUUGCAUAAUGACCAUAAUCAAGGACAAAGAUGUGUAUAUCGCCGCCUUGUCUUCUCCCGGCGCAGCCUGUACAAAGACGCGCUCAUGUUGACAUGCUGUCCUCUCGUCAAGGAACAUCUAUUUAAAAUAAAAAGGGGGAAAAAAAAAAGAAAAAAAAAGAAAAAAAAAAGCCCACAGCUUUUACAUAUUUUAGCUCUGCCUUCCACUUUUAAGUUGUUCCCUUUCAUCCGACCGAGGGAUGCGCGCAUGCCUCCAUCCCUCCCCGGCUCCAGCGCUCAGCAGCACGAAGCCCGUUCCCAUCGCUCAACCCGUUUUAGGGCGUUUUGUCUCCGCGCGGAAACAGAUCUGUGCGAGCGGGAGGGUCGGGCAACUCUUCCGUUGGAGGGGACUAUUUGGGAACUGGCACGAAUCGAUGCGAAGUUACCAUUUGUCUGCAACGCAGCAGCGUCAGUUCUAGGGUUUAAUUUUGAUAUAAAGCCUUUUCAAUACUUUGCUUCUUAGACAGAUUCGCUUUUUAUGACAUCAGAUUUUUUUUUAAAGCAAUCCCCCCCACCCCCGCCCCCGUUUUUAAAAAUAAGUGUUUCAGAACUUUCCUCCCAGAGUCAGAGAUGCUCUGGAAGAGUAAACACCGCGCGGGGGCCGGGUGGAAGUUUUGCCUUCAGGCGAACGGGAGAAAAGCAG